GAGAUCGACCUGCAAUAAAUGUCAUUUAGUCUUCACACCCAUGUGCUGGAUUUGAAUAAAGCUCACAAUAUGAGUUGGCAAGUGGGAUGGACUGAUAGAAAGUUACCUGGGCUAGAAUUCAAGGUUGAUGAAGUAAUGAGCCUGCUGCUUGUGUCAUGAAGCUCUGUGCUGUCUUCUUUGCAACUGCCACUUUUGGUGGAAGAUUUUUGGCGACGGAUCAAGAAUAGGACCACAAAAAUGACAAACAGGACCGUAACUAAGGAAGUGGUCACCGGUCAACCAGUUCCACCACUGUUAAGAAUGGAGCAAGAGGGUGAGUUUGUAAGGUGACUUUCUGCCAAUAACAACAAUCCAAUUACCACCUGCAUAACUCAACAUCCCUGAAUUCAAGGGUGGGGAAAUGUGGUUCGUUGAGUAUGUGAAUAGAAGCCCAGAUAAUUGGGCCCAUAAUCUCUCUGGCCCAGUUGAUGUACCAGUUGUCGUGGGGCCACGCAAACUGAAUACAGUGAUACGCAGCUUGGUCUCUAAACACAUGCAGCCUGCAACAUUGAGCCAAAGAUUUUGUUGCAAAGGAAGAAGACAUGAAAUAUGAUUGGCGUGACAGCUAACAGUCGUGAAUUGGAGAGUACACAUAGGACAGUGAGAGACAAGAUUGAAGAUAGAUUAUGCAAAAGAGACAACAUCCAAACUCAUAAUUCAUCACAACUUGUCAACACAAUCUCAUCAAACAUCGUCAAAAACCUCAACUAUCAUAACAAUGUUAAGGAUUCGGAAUGAUGUUUCAAACUACAAACAAUUCAGAAAUUUGUUACAAUUGAUUUUUCAUAGCCUGAAGAAAGAAAAAGAU